CCUACGGGAGGCAGCAGUGGGGAAUAUUGCACAAUGGGGGAAACCCUGAUGCAGCAACGCCGCGUGAGUGAUGACGGCUUUCGGGUUGUAAAGCUCUGUCUUCAGGGACGAUAAUGACGGUACCUGAGGAGGAAGCCACGGCUAACUACGUGCCAGCAGCCGCGGUAAUACGUAGGUGGCGAGCGUUCUCCGGAUUUACUGGGCGUAAAGGGAGCGUAGGCGGGGUUUUAAGUAAGAUGUGAAAUACUCGGGCUUAACUUGAGUACUGCAUUUCAAACUGGGAGUCUAGAGUGCAGGAGAGGAUAAUGGAAUUCUUGGUGUAGGGGUGAAAUGCGUAGAGAUUAGGAAGAACACCAGUGGCGAAGGCGAUUCUCUGGAAUGUAACUGACGCUGAGGCUCGAAAGCGUGGGGAGCAAACAGGAUUAGAUACCCUUGUAGUC
rnacentral:rRNA from 1 species